GUACAGGUGACGGGAACUGGCAUACCUAUCACGCUUAGAACGUGGUGCUUGUGGGUUCGAAGCCCACCCUGUAUACCA
rnacentral:tRNA from 1 species